CGGCCCUCCCUGGAUUCACACACACACACACACACACACACACACACACACACACACACACACACACACACACACACACACACACAAUCCAACCUGGAGAUUCUCCAUCCUCCAACCUGUGGAUCCUCCUAACCUGCACUUUCGGUGUCCUCGUGGGGUCGAGCAUGACCCCGACCACAACCCCCCCACUGCACAUCCUCACCCACUUGUGGGGUCAGUCGAAAACCCUCCUCCGUUGCCCUCGUGGGGUCUAAAAAUGAGAGCUGCGUGAGGGUUAAGAUGAUCACAUUUUAACCCAAACUAUCGUAUGAAAUUUAACAACUUUAAAAGUCACGUGAAUUUUAAAACAAACUUAUUCUAUGGGCACAUAGCCUAUGGAAAUCAAGGAGGUUCAGUUAUUUCGACAAUUUUAUUGAUUUUCGGAACUAGAGACUUGAUGUCGUGUCCGUGUUUUCUUUUGCAUGUUUUUAACAUCGUAGUGUCCAACGCACCUUGAAUACCGCAGCGGCAGAAGGAUUCGGCCUCAUUGAACAGGUUGAAUCCGCUCCUGAACCGUAGCGUCCAACUCGCAGACAGGCCGGUGAAAAAGCUUGGUCUAUUGGCCAGUCUCUGCACCACCGGAGUCUUUUACUAGAUGGGUAACAUUUUGAACUCGCGUUUCUUAUUUUCGCUCUAAAAACGAUAAUUACUGUAUGUCUGGGCGACACUGAUACAUGCUGGCAAGCAGAGGCAAGAGAAGCAUCUCCUACAACUGCAGGGGUUUCCUUUGGUUAAACAAAUUCUGUCUCUGCUCUUUAAAUUUGUUUCGGUUUGUUCCGUGUAAUUCUAAUUUAACUAUUGGUUGAUUACUAUUUUUGUUUCAGGUGCCCCAACCAACCUUCUUAUCAAGCCUCUCUUCCACCGCUACCACCUCUUAGCAAGCCUCUGGUGGGACGGGUUCAUCCUCUGCGCUGAGACUUAAUUAUGAUAUGCCACAGCAACGUCAGCCCCAAGUAUUGGCUGAGGUGGAGUCAACUUUAGCAGCAGUGAUGCAGCAUCAUAAUGCACAAUCUAACCUAAGCCAUGCACAUGUUGGAUUAUUUGUUGCACAUGCAGCCCAGCUCCAGUCAGUCUGUGAAGAUGUCAUGGUCAGUUCUUUACAGGUCUGUGUGGUAGUUGGUUGUUUAGGCUAUAGACUUGUUCACAUUUGUGUCACGGGGGACAGGAAUGAAAGACUCAACGCUGAUAAUAUUUCAUCUUCUCUAUUUGCAUAAAUCAAAUUUAAACCUUGUUUUCUCACCCAAUGGUUGGUGUCUGCACAACAGAGCUAAGAUUUGACAUUUACUUGGUUUAUUCUAGUUCAUUAACUCUGAAAACAUUUAAAAAUCACACUCCUGCUGUGGACCCGUUUUUGUGGGGAGUACCAAGAUCAUAAGGCGCAUAAACCAACCUCAUGUUAAGCCAACACCUCCGUCUCCUGCAGAGGAGCUCAGCAAUGGGGAAAUCUACAGGUCAGCAAGAAAGCAAAAGCUCAGUCCCAGCCAUCAUGUUGUGAAGACUUACUUUGGAACAUUUAAGAUGCUGCGUGUGUCCUUUCUCUUCUUCCAGAGACUGCGCCCUACAGAACCUCGCAGCGCAGAUGAAGGCACUCCCUAAAGUUGUGGGCUGUGAGCUGCCACCUACUCGGGAUUUGCUGGUUAUAGACGGACAUGAUCUACUCUGCAGCUUGCAUUAUUACACGCCAAGUGUGUGUUUCACUGUUUGAUAAUGGAAGGGAACAAACUCAAUACUUGGUGGAGAAAACGUUGGCUGCAAUACAUCUGAAUCUGAACUGUGAUAAAGAAAAAUAACGUGACAGCGGAUGAAGUUUGUUCCCGAGAACAGGAAAAAAAAACCAGUUGUGAUUCUGAUGUUGGUAAUAACAUGAGAUGUAUUCAUUAGGUAAUACUACAGAAAAUGUCUUAUUACCAAUAUGUUUCUUCAUAGUGUGAAUUUGAGGUUUGACUUGGAGUUUUGACAUGCUUGACAAAAUGACAAAAGCUCUAAGAUUUGACCAAGAAUGGGAUUAAGUUUAUUGAAGACAUUUACACAGACACGUCUACUGAAGAAGUGGCAUAACUGUACUGUAGCUAAAUGUACAAUAGUACCAGUAGUUCCACUCCUCUAUUGUAGCUUUUGACUUGUCUGUAGUUACAUUUUUAUACAACAUUUGUUCUUCUUUAAAUGUUCUUUGUUUUUCUGGAAGUCCUGAUGAGAUUUGUACAAGCAGACUUGAAGCUACAGUACAACGUCUUCAUUUACGGAAGCCAACUGUGCGGCUCUUCUACUACUUCGUUAUUGAGUGUGCUCGCUUUCUCCGUCACCUCCUGGUUUAAUUCCAUUAGCCUGCAAAGAAAAAUCUGUCGGGACCCCUCACAUCCUAAGUCCCAUGUUCCAGUGGCUCCCAUCAGGACACAGACUCCCUGAUGCAGGACCCAAAUAGGAGAAACACUGUAAUCCCAGCAGUAGUUAUCCAUCAGUAUGCUGUCCUGUACAAUGACGCUUUUAAUUGAUCUUAUUAGUAAUAUUAAUUUUCCUGGAUGCUUUACCUUAAUUGGCCUUCAGGGAUAAAUAAUAGAGAUAAAGUGUUUUAAAUUGAAUUGAUCAAUACAUUAUAAAUACCUGAAAUACUUAUGUACACAUUAUUCAAAGAAAUAAAUUAAAAACAAAUCUAUGUUGUGAAGUUCA
ensembl:lncRNA